CCUACGGGUGGCUGCAGUGGGGAAUAUUGGACAAUGGGCGAAAGCCUGAUCCAGCCAUGCCGCGUGUGUGAAGAAGGCCUUCGGGUUGUAAAGCACUUUCAGUGGGGAAGAAAGCCUUGGGGCUAAUACCCUCGAGGAAGGACAUCACCCACAGAAGAAGCACCGGCUAACUCCGUGCCAGCAGCCGCGGUAAUACGGAGGGUGCGAGCGUUAAUCGGAAUUACUGGGCGUAAAGCGCGCGUAGGCGGUCUGAUAAGCCGGUUGUGAAAGCCCCGGGCUCAACCUGGGAACGGCAUCCGGAACUGUCAGGCUAGAGUGCAGGAGAGGAAGGUAGAAUUCCCGGUGUAGCGGUGAAAUACGUAGAGAUCGGGAGGAAUACCAGUGGCGAAGGCGGCCUUCUGGACUGACACUGACGCUGAGGUGCGAAAGCGUGGGUAGCAAACAGGAUUAGAUACCCGUGUAGUC
rnacentral:rRNA from 1 species